rnacentral:rRNA from 1 species
GACGAACGCUGGCGGCGUGCUUAACACAUGCAAGUCGAACGGAAAGGCCUCUUUCGGGCGGUACUCGAGUGGCGAACGGGUGAGUAACACGUGAGUAACCUGCCCUUGACUUUGGGAUAACUUCAGGAAACUGGGGCUAAUACCGGAUAGGAGCUCCUGCUGCAUGGUGGGGGUUGGAAAGUUUCGGCGGUUGGGGAUGGACUCGCGGCUUAUCAGCUUGUUGGUGGGGUAGUGGCUUACCAAGGCUUUGACGGGUAGCCGGCCUGAGAGGGUGACCGGCCACAUUGGGACUGAGAUACGGCCCAGACUCCUACGGGAGGCAGCAGGGGGGAAUAUUGCACAAUGGGUGGAAGCCUGAUGCAGCAACGCCGUGUGCGGGAUGACGGCCUUCGGGUUGUAAACCGCUUUCGCUCAUGACGAAGCUUUGUGUGACGGUAGUGGGUAAAGAAGCACCGGCUAACUACGUG